rfam:Salmo salar isolate Sally breed double haploid chromosome ssa05, whole genome shotgun sequence.
CGACCUCAGAUCAGACCCCCUGAAUUUAAGCAUACUACUAAGCGGAGGAAAAGGGCUGGGGGCAAAAGGUGGCUACCGGUUUCGGCCGUGCGCUUCACAGCACCCCUGCUCCAUACUCGCCGCUUCCCGGGCCCGAGGACUUAGUACCCGCUGCAUCAUGUCCCCCUGCAGGGGGGGGGGGGGGGGGGGGAUGCGGGAUGGGGGAGUAAAAAAACAAAAAUGAUGACAAAAGUAUGUUCAUACAUGUUCUUAUACAUGUGUAAUUGACAGAAAAAUGGUCCAGAAAUCACUUUUUUAAGGGGGUGAGAAUUAUUUUAUUUUUUUCAAAAUUUUACUCCUGGGUCUUGACUUGUGUUACAUUUGCAAUAAGAAAAUUUACGGUGGAGCGCACUCGCCAUCUAUUGGAUUUUUGCUGUGUGCCAAUUGGCAUUUGCCAUAUGGCAUUUUGCAAUCAGUUUUGAAUGAAACGACGUCCAUUUGAGUGGUAUUGUACAUUGUGUAUAUGUUUUCGUAUGGUGCCAAUAAGAUCCCAUUAAUUUUUNNNNNNNNNNNNNNNNNNNNGGGGGGGGGGGGGGGGGGGGGCACAGGGGCAGGGGGUCGGACUGUCCCCCGGCACGGCUGUCAACCGGGUCGGACUGUCCUCAGUGCGCACCCGACCACGUUGCGUCACUAGGGCGGGGAUCGGCUCACGUAAACUGGUGCCAGGGGUCAGCGGUGAUGUCGGCAACCCACCCGACCAGUCUUGAAACAUGGACCAAGGAGUCUAACCCGCAAGUCAGAAGGUUCUCUCUGAACACACCACGUGGCACAAUGAAAGUGAGGGUUGGUGCGUGCCGGCUGAGGUGGGACCCCGGCCCUGUGGGAAUCCCAUCUCGCCCGCUCUGUCAGGGAGGUGAAGCGUGAGAUAGGACCCGAAAGAUAGUGAACUAUGCCUGGGCAGGGCAAAGCCAGAGGAAACUCUGGUGGAGGUCCGUAGCAGUCCUGACGUGCAAAUCGGUCUUCCGACCUGGGUAUGGGGCGAAAGACUAAUCGAUCCAUCUAGUAGCUGGUUCCCUCCGAAGUUUCCCUCAUGAUAGCUGGCACUCGAAGUCUCGCAGUUUUAUCUGGUAAAGCGAUUGAUUAGAUGUCUUGGGGCUGAAACGAACUUAACCUAUUUUCAAACUUUAAAUGGGUAAGAGCCGGGCGUGGAAUGCGAGCCGCUUAGUGGGCCACUUUUGUAAGCAGAACUGGCCUUGCGGGAUGAACCUAAUGCCGGGUUAAGGCGCCCGAUGCCGACGCUCAUCAGACCCCAGAAAAGGUGUUGGUCGAUAUUGACAGCAGGACUGUGGCCAUGGAAGUCGGAAUCCGCUAAGGAGUGUGUAACAACUCACCUGCCAAAACAACUAGCCCUGAAAAUGGAUGGCACUGGAGCGUCGGGCCCAUACCUGGCCCUCGCCGGCCACGGGAGCCUCGAGGGCUACGCCGCAACGAGUAGGAGGGCCGCCGCAGUGAGCACGGAAGCCUAGGGCACGGGCCCGGGUGAAGCCUCCGCGGGUGUAGAUCUUGUUGGUAGUAGCAAAUAUUCAAAUGAGAACUUUGAAGACCGAAGUGGAGAAGGGUUCCAUGUGAACAGCAGUUUAACAUGGAUCAGUUGGUUCUAAGAGAUGGGCGAACGCCGUUCGGGAGGGGCGAUGGCCUCCAUCGUACCCAUAUCCACAUCAGGUCUCCAAGGUGAACAGUCUCUGGCAUGUUAGAAUAAUAUAGGU